GUCCUUUUGAGAUUAAUUUAAGGUUUGACCUGCCCACUGAUUUAUUGAAGGGCCGCAGUAUUUUGACUGUGCAAAGGUAGCAUAAUCAUUAGUUUUUUAAUUGAAAGCUUGUAUGAAGGGUUGGACGAGGUAAAUUCUGUCUCUAAUUAAUUUAAUAUAGAAUUUAAUUUUUAAGUUAAAAAGCUUAAAUUAUAUUAAAAGACGAGAAGACCCUAUAGAUCUUUAUAUUUUAUUGAUUAAUUUUAUUUAAGAUUGUUAAAUUUUUUAUUUAAUAAAAUAUUUUAUUGGGGUAAUAGAAAGAUUUAAAUAAUUCUUUUUUAAAGUUUACAAUUAUAAAUGAUUUUAUGAUCCAAUAUUAUUGAUUAUAAGAUUAAGUUACCUUAGGGAUAACAGCGUAAUUUUUUUUGAGAGUUCAUAUCGAUAAAAAAGCUUGCGACCUCGAUGUUGGAUUAAAAAUUAUUUUAGGUGUAGAAGCUUAAAUUUUUGGUCUGUUCGACCAUUAAAUUUU
rnacentral:rRNA from 1 species